rnacentral:rRNA from 1 species
UGCUCAGGACGAACGCUGGCGGCGUGCCUAAUACAUGCAAGUCGAGCGGACAGAUGGGAGCUUGCUCCCUGAUGUUAGCGGCGGACGGGUGAGUAACACGUGGGUAACCUGCCUGUAAGACUGGGAUAACUCCGGGAAACCGGGGCUAAUACCGGAUGGUUGUUUGAACCGCAUGGUUCAGACAUAAAAGGUGGCUUCGGCUACCACUUACAGAUGGACCCGCGGCGCAUUAGCUAGUUGGUGAGGUAACGGCUCACCAAGGCGACGAUGCGUAGCCGACCUGAGAGGGUGAUCGGCCACACUGGGACUGAGACACGGCCCAGACUCCUACGGGAGGCAGCAGUAGGGAAUCUUCCGCAAUGGACGAAAGUCUGACGGAGCAACGCCGCGUGAGUGAUGAAGGUUUUCGGAUCGUAAAGCUCUGUUGUUAGGGAAGAACAAGUGCCGUUCAAAUAGGGCGGCACCUUGACGGUACCUAACCAGAAAGCCACGGCUAACUACGUGCCAGCAGCCGCGGUAAUACGUAGGUGGCAAGCGUUGUCCGGAAUUAUUGGGCGUAAAGGGCUCGCAGGCGGUUUCUUAAGUCUGAUGUGAAAGCCCCCGGCUCAACCGGGGAGGGUCAUUGGAAACUGGGGAACUUGAGUGCAGAAGAGGAGAGUGGAAUUCCACGUGUAGCGGUGAAAUGCGUAGAGAUGUGGAGGAACACCAGUGGCGAAGGCGACUCUCUGGUCUGUAACUGACGCUGAGGAGCGAAAGCGUGGGGAGCGAACAGGAUUAGAUACCCUGGUAGUCCACGCCGUAAACGAUGAGUGCUAAGUGUUAGGGGGUUUCCGCCCCUUAGUGCUGCAGCUAACGCAUUAAGCACUCCGCCUGGGGAGUACGGUCGCAAGACUGAAACUCAAAGGAAUUGACGGGGGCCCGCACAAGCGGUGGAGCAUGUGGUUUAAUUCGAAGCAACGCGAAGAACCUUACCAGGUCUUGACAUCCUCUGACAAUCCUAGAGAUAGGACGUCCCCUUCGGGGGCAGAGUGACAGGUGGUGCAUGGUUGUCGUCAGCUCGUGUCGUGAGAUGUUGGGUUAAGUCCCGCAACGAGCGCAACCCUUGAUCUUAGUUGCCAGCAUUCAGUUGGGCACUCUAAGGUGACUGCCGGUGACAAACCGGAGGAAGGUGGGGGAUGACGUCAAAUCAUCAUGCCCCUUAUGACCUGGGCUACACACGUGCUACAAUGGACAGAACAAAGGGCAGCGAAACCGCGAGGUUAAGCCAAUCCCACAAAUCUGUUCUCAGUUCGGAUCGCAGUCUGCAACUCGACUGCGUGAAGCUGGAAUCGCUAGUAAUCGCGGAUCAGCAUGCCGCGG